AUUGAACGCUGGCGGCAUGCUUUACACAUGCAAGUCGAACGGUAACAGGGAGCUUGCUCCGCUGACGAGUGGCGAACGGGUGAGUAAUGCGUCGGAACGUGCCGAGUAGUGGGGGAUAACGCAUCGAAAGGUGUGCUAAUACCGCAUACGAACUGAGGUUGAAAGUGGGGGACCUUCGGGCCUCACGCUAUUCGAGCGGCCGACGUCUGAUUAGCUAGUUGGUGAGGUAAAGGCUCACCAAGGCGACGAUCAGUAGCGGGUCCGAGAGGAUGAUCCGCCACACUGGGACUGAGACACGGCCCAGACUCCUACGGGAGGCAGCAGUGGGGAAUUUUGGACAAUGGGCGCAAGCCUGAUCCAGCCAUGCCGCGUGUCUGAAGAAGGCCUUUGGGUUGUAAAGGACUUUUGUCCGGGAGCAAAUGCUGGUGGCUAACAUCCACCGGAGCUGAGAGUACCGGAAGAAUAAGCACCGGCUAACUACGUGCCAGCCGCCGCGGUAAUAC
rnacentral:rRNA from 1 species